UACGAAGGGGGCUAGCGUUGUUCGGAAUUACUGGGCGUAAAGCGCGCGCAGGCGGUCUUCCAAGUCAGUGGUGAAAGCCCGGAGCUCAACUCCGGAACUGCCAUUGAAACUGUUGGACUUGAGUACGUGAGAGGUGAGUGGAAUUCCCAGUGUAGAGGUGAAAUUCGUAGAUAUUGGGAAGAACACCGGUGGCGAAGGCGGCUCACUGGCUCGUAACUGACGCUCAGGCGCGACAGCGUGGGGAUCAAACAGG
rnacentral:rRNA from 1 species